rnacentral:rRNA from 1 species
CACUAUCGUUAACUGAAUACAUAGGUUAACGAGGCGAACCGGGGGAACUGAAACAUCUAAGUACCCCGAGGAAAAGAAAUCAACCGAGAUUCCCCCAGUAGCGGCGAGCGAACGGGGAGCAGCCCAGAGUCUGAAUCAGCUUGUGUGUUAGUGGAACGGUCUGGAAAGUCCGACGGUACAGGGUGAUAGUCCCGUACACCAAAAUGCACAGGCUGUGAACUCGAAGAGUAGGGCGGGACACGUGGUAUCCUGUCUGAAUAUGGGGGGACCAUCCUCCAAGGCUAAAUACUCCUGACUGACCGAUAGUGAACCAGUACCGUGAGGGAAAGGCGAAAAGAACCCCGGCGAGGGGAGUGAAAAAGAACCUGAAACCGUGUACGUACAAGCAGUGGGAGCACCUUCGGGUGUGACUGCGUACCUUUUGUAUAAUGGGUCAGCGACUUAUAUUCUGUAGCAAGGUUAACCGUAUAGGGGAGCCGCAGGGAAACCGAGUCUUAACUGGGCGUUAAGUUGCAGGGUAUAGACCCGAAACCCGGUGAUCUAGCCAUGGGCAGGUUGAAGGUUGGGUAACACUAACUGGAGGACCGAACCGACUAAUGUUGAAAAAUUAGCGGAUGACUUGUGGCUGGGGGUGAAAGGCCAAUCAAACCGGGAGAUAGCUGGUUCUCCCCGAAAGCUAUUUAGGUAGCGCCUCGUGAACUCAUCUUCGGGGGUAGAGCACUGUUUCGGCUAGGGGGUCAUCCCGACUUACCAACCCGAUGCAAACUACGAAUACCGAAGAAUGUUAUCACGGGAGACACACGGCGGGUGCUAACGUCCGUCGUGAAGAGGGAAACAACCCAGACCGCCAGCUAAGGUCCCAAAGUCAUGGUUAAGUGGGAAACGAUGUGGGAAGGCACAGACAGCCAGGAUGUUGGCUUAGAAGCAGCCAUCAUUUAAAGAAAGCGUAAUAGCUCACUGGUCGAGUCGGCCUGCGCGGAAGAUGUAACGGGGCUAAACCAUGCACCGAAGCUGCGGCAGCGACACUAUGUGUUGUUGGGUAGGGGAGCGUUCUGUAAGCCUGCGAAGGUGUGCUGUGAGGCAUGCUGGAGGUAUCAGAAGUGCGAAUGCUGACAUAAGUAACGAUAAAGCGGGUGAAAAGCCCGCUCGCCGGAAGACCAAGGGUUCCUGUCCAACGUUAAUCGGGGCAGGGUGAGUCGACCCCUAAGGCGAGGCCGAAAGGCGUAGUCGAUGGGAAACAGGUUAAUAUUCCUGUACUUGGUGUUACUGCGAAGGGGGGACGGAGAAGGCUAUGUUAGCCGGGCGACGGUUGUCCCGGUUUAAGCAUGUAGGCUGGUUAUCCAGGCAAAUCCGGAUAAUCAAGGCUGAGGUGUGAUGACGAGGCACUACGGUGCUGAAGUAACAAAUGCCCUGCUUCCAGGAAAAGCCUCUAAGCAUCAGGUAACAUCAAAUCGUACCCCAAACCGACACAGGUGGUCAGGUAGAGAAUACCAAGGCGCUUGAGAGAACUCGGGUGAAGGAACUAGGCAAAAUGGUGCCGUAACUUCGGGAGAAGGCACGCUGGUGUGUAGGUGAAGCCCCUGCGGGUGGAGCUGAGACCAGUCGAAGAUACCAGCUGGCUGCAACUGUUUAUUAAAAACACAGCACUGUGCAAACACGAAAGUGGACGUAUACGGUGUGACGCCUGCCCGGUGCCGGAAGGUUAAUUGAUGGGGUUAUCCGUAAGGAGAAGCUCUUGAUCGAAGCCCCGGUAAACGGCGGCCGUAACUAUAACGGUCCUAAGGUAGCGAAAUUCCUUGUCGGGUAAGUUCCGACCUGCACGAAUGGCGUAAUGAUGGCCAGGCUGUCUCCACCCGAGACUCAGUGAAAUUGAACUCGCUGUGAAGAUGCAGUGUACCCGCGGCAAGACGGAAAGACCCCGUGAACCUUUACUAUAGCUUGACACUGAACAUUGAGCCUUGAUGUGUAGGAUAGGUGGGAGGCUUUGAAGCGUGGACGCCAGUCUGCGUGGAGCCAACCUUGAAAUACCACCCUUUAAUGUUUGAUGUUCUAACGUUGGCCCCUGACCGGGGUUGCGGACAGUGUCUGGUGGGUAGUUUGACUGGGGCGGUCUCCUCCCAAAGCGUAACGGAGGAGCACGAAGGUUAGCUAAUCCUGGUCGGACAUCAGGAGGUUAGUGCAAUGGCAUAAGCUAGCUUGACUGCGAGCGUGACGGCGCGAGCAGGUGCGAAAGCAGGUCAUAGUGAUCCGGUGGUUCUGAAUGGAAGGGCCAUCGCUCAACGGAUAAAAGGUACUCCGGGGAUAACAGGCUGAUACCGCCCAAGAGUUCAUAUCGACGGCGGUGUUUGGCACCUCGAUGUCGGCUCAUCACAUCCUGGGGCUGAAGUAGGUCCCAAGGGUAUGGCUGUUCGCCAUUUAAAGUGGUACGCGAGCUGGGUUUAGAACGUCGUGAGACAGUUCGGUCCCUAUCUGCCGUGGGCGCUGGAGAAUUGAGGGGGGCUGCUCCUAGUACGAGAGGACCGGAGUGGACGCAUCACUGGUGUUCGGGUUGUCAUGCCAAUGGCACUGCCCGGUAGCUAAAUGCGGAAGAGAUAAGUGCUGAAAGCAUCUAAGCACGAAACUUGCCCCGAGAUGAGUUCUCCCUGAGACUUUAAGUCUCCUGAAGGAACGUU